UUUGCUGGAAAGCAGUGGAGCUGUGUACAUAUAUACCUUCUGCUUUUUCCAGCAAAAUUUAUGCA